rnacentral:rRNA from 1 species
AACGAACGCUGGCGGCAUGCCUAACACAUGCAAGUCGAACGAUGCUUUCGGGCAUAGUGGCGCACGGGUGCGUAACGCGUGGGAAUCUGCCCUUGGGUUCGGAAUAACAGUGAGAAAUUGCUGCUAAUACCGGAUGAUGUCUUCGGACCAAAGAUUUAUCGCCCAGGGAUGAGCCCGCGUAGGAUUAGCUAGUUGGUGGGGUAAUGGCCUACCAAGGCGACGAUCCUUAGCUGGUCUGAGAGGAUGAUCAGCCACACUGGGACUGAGACACGGCCCAGACGCGAGGGGGGGAGAGCAGGGGAGAAUGUUAGACAACGGGCGCAGGACGGAGGCGGCGAGGGGGGAUGAGGGAUGACGGCUUGAGUGUUGUAAAGCUUUUUGCCCGGGGAUGAUACUGACGUUCGCGAGAGAAUACGCUCCUGCUACCUGCUGGCCGGAACGCGAGGUAAGAGGCGGAAAGCCGUCGCCCUGAC